CACGUAGGGUGCGAGCGUUGUCCGGAAUUAUUGGGCGUAAAGAGCUCGUAGGCGGUGUGUCGCGUCGGCCGUGAAAACCUGCAGCUUAACUGUGGGCUUGCGGUCGAUACGGGCAUCACUGGAGUUCGGCAGGGGAGACUGGAAUUCCUGGUGUAGCGGUGAAAUGCGCAGAUAUCAGGAGGAACACCAGUGGCGAAGGCGGGUCUCUGGGCCGUUACUGACGCUGAGGAGCGAAAGCGUGGGGAGCAAACAGG
rnacentral:rRNA from 1 species